UUGUGUGGAGCAUCUACCUUGAGCAAGUAAUUAGCCGCUGAAAUAGAUGGAUUGUAUAGAUGAGGUUCUAUCUAUUAAAGAGGCUAGCCACUUAUCAAGUGCUAACAGCCCACUGCAGC
rnacentral:precursor_RNA from 7 species